rnacentral:rRNA from 1 species
GUUGAGGUAGCUGGAAUGAGUAGUGUAGCGGUGAAAUGCAUAGAUAUUACUCAGAACACCGAUUGCGAAGGCAGGUUACCAAGUUAUAACUGACGCUGAGGGACGAAAGCGUGGGGAGCGAACAGGAUUAGAUACCCUGGUAGUCCACGCCGUAAACGAUGCUAACUCGUUUUUGGGCUAUAUGGUUCAGAGACUAAGCGAAAGUGAUAAGUUAGCCACCUGGGGAGUACGACCGCAAGGUUGAAACUCAAAGGAAUUGACGGGGGCCCGCACAAGCGGUGGAUCAUGUGGUUUAAUUCGAUGAUACGCGAGGAACCUUACCAAGGCUUAAAUGGGAAUUGAUAGCUGUAGAAAUACGGUUUUCUUCGGACAAUUUUCAAGGUGCUGCAUGGUUGUCGUCAGCUCGUGCCGUGAGGUGUUAGGUUAAGUCCUGCAACGAGCGCAACCCCUGUCACUAGUUGCCAUCAUUAAGUUGGGGACUCUAGUGAGACUGCCUACGCAAGUAGAGAGGAAGGUGGGGAUGACGUCAAAUCAUCACGGCCCUUACGCCUUGGGCCACACACGUGAUACA